rnacentral:rRNA from 1 species
GUCAGCCGCCGCGGGAACACCGGCAGCUCUAGUGGUAGCAAUUUUAUUGGGCCUAAAGCGUCCGUAGCCGGUUUAAUAAGUCUCUGGUGAAAUCCUGUAGCUUAACUGUGGGAAUUGCUGGAGAUACUAUUAGACUUGAGAUCGGGAGAGGUUAGAGGUACUCCCAGGGUAGAGGUGAAAUUCUGUAAUCCUGGGAGGACCGCCUGUUGCGAAGGCGUCUAACUGGAACGAUUCUGACGGUGAGGGACGAAAGUUAGGGGCGCGAACCGGAUUAGAUACCCGGGUAGUCCUAACUGUAAACGAUGCGGACUUGGUGUUGGGGUGGCUUUGAGCUGCUCCAGUGCCGAAGGGAAGCUGUUAAGUCCGCCGCCUGGGAAGUACGGUCGCAAGACUGAACUUAAAGGAAUUGGCGGGGGAGCACCACAACGCGUGGAGCCUGCGGUUUAAUUGGAUUCAACGCCGGACAUCUCACCAGAGGCGACAGCUGUAUGAUAGCCAGGUUGAUGACUUUGCUUGACUAGCUGAGGGGAGGUGCAUGG